rnacentral:ncRNA from 2 species
UAAAAUAUUAAAAAAACCGGUGUCCAAGUGACUUCAUAGGGAAUCUGGUGCGAAUCCAGAGCUGUCCCCGCAACUGUAAGUGUGGACGAAUUGAACAUGCCACUGUAUAGGAUCGUAAAUUUCGAUCGAUAUGGGAAGGGUUCAAGGAGAAUGAAGCACAAGUCAGUAGACCUGCCGGAUUUUUUUUUGGUUU